rnacentral:rRNA from 1 species
UGCAGUCGANCGGUAACAGGAAGAAAGCUUGCUUUCUUUGCUGACGAGUGGCGGACGGGUGAGUAAUGCUUGGGAAUCUGGCUUAUGGAGGGGGAUAACUACUGGAAACGGUAGCUAAUACCGCGUAAUGUCUACGGACUAAAAGGGGCGAAAGCUCUUGCCAUAAGAUGAGCCCAAGUGGGAUUAGGUAGUUGGUGAGGUAACGGCUCACCAAGCCGUCGAUCUCUAGCUGGUCUGAGAGGAUGACCAGCCACACUGGAACUGAGACACGGUCCAGACUCCUACGGGAGGCAGCAGUGGGGAAUAUUGCACAAUGGGGGAAACCCUGAUGCAGCCAUGCCGCGUGAAUGAAGAAGGCCUUCGGGUUGUAAAGUUCUUUCGGUGAUGAGGAAGGUGUAAUGGUUAAUACCCAUUACAAUUGACGUUAGUCACAGAAGAAGCACCGGCUAACUCCGUGCCAGCAGCCGCGGUAAUACGGAGGGUGCAAGCGUUAAUCGGAAUAACUGGGCGUAAAGGGCACGCAGGCGGUUGUUUAAGUGAGGUGUGAAAGCCCCGGGCUCAACCUGGGAAUUGCAUUUCAGACUGGACAACUAGAGUACUUUAGGGAGGGGUAGAAUUCCACGUGUAGCGGUGAAAUGCGUAGAGAUGUGGAGGAAUACCGAAGGCGAAGGCAGCCCCUUGGGAAUGUACUGACGCUCAUGUGCGAAAGCGUGNNGAGCAAACAGGAUUAGAUACCCUGGUAGUCCACGCCGUAAACGCUGUCNAUUUGGGGAUUGGGCUUUGAGCUUGGUGCCCGUANCUAACGUGAUAAAUCGACCGCCUGGGGAGUACGGCCGCNNGGUUAAAACUCAA